AAAAAGAAAUGAAGGGGUAGACCCGCAGCCCUCCCCGCAUCGCUCCCUCCCACCGCCGCCUCCUUGCGUCGCUCCCUCCCCGCGCCCCCUCCCACCGCCGCCUCCCCGUGCCCUCCCUACCGGCAUGCUCGACGACGGGUAUGGCGGCGUCGUGCUCGGCUCCCAUGCGAUGGGCCGCCUCCGACAUCCCAGGCGGAGCGCUCGCGCCCGCCACCGGAGAAUGCCCACGCCUGCGUCUGGUGCCGGACAACGCCCACGGACGCCGCCGCCGACGUCGCCCCCAACACCCUCCGGACGGAUCUCGGGGCGGCCAGUCCGGGGCAAUGAGCCGACGCCGGAUCUCGGGGCUGCUGAUCUCGGAAGCCGUUGCUGGGCACUUGGUCGAGAGGGGGAGGGGGAGGAGGAGGCCGCCGGGCGCUGCACGGGCGGUUCGCCGGUGGAUCUGGGGGCGGCCGGCGUGGGGGCAACGACUCACCGCUGGAUCUCAGGCCGUGAGGUAUUGAGCGCCGCCGCCGAGGUCUUGGCCGAGAGGGGGAGGGGGCAGAGGAGGCCGCCGGACGCUGGUGGGCAGGGACGGAAGCUGAGUGGCCGCUGCUAGGUGAAGCUGGGCGGCCGCUGCUGGGCGAGGCCGUGGAGGAGCGACGCUAGACCGUGGCGGGUGGGGUGCGAAGCCCUCGAGUCCAGCUGGAUUUGGAGGCUGUGGCCCUUUCUGCGCCCGCAGCAAUGCCACCUUUGUCGAGGGGCUCGAGGCCAUGACCACAUCGCACGACCCCAGGGAUGCGCGGGCCACCGAUGUCGUGCCGGUGCCAGCUGUUCGGCCGACGCCGCCGCGGCAGAUCCCGCUAGCGACGAUGAGGAGGCGACGACCACCAACAAGGCAACAACUCUGCUUCUACGGUUCUACCUGGCAUCCCGUCGCUAGACUAGCAGCACCGAAGGAAGCAUCCCAGCCGACUGAGCAACACCGAAUGGUUGUAUCUUCUAUUGGAAGAUUGGAUGAGGAUAGAUUGAUCCUGUUGUGAUUGUGUGCUCUACAAAGAAAGGGUGGAAGAUGUUGUAUAUGAAUUUGUUUUUUGCCUUUUCUUUGUUAAGAAAGAGAGUGCAUUAUCCAAAUAGAGUAGCAGAUUUCCCUAAAAAAAUGAGCAGAAAAGGAUACAGCGCCACAUGCUAAUUGCUAUUGUUACCUAUUGCUUCCGUAUUGUGAAGUCCAAAAUGCAUCUUGUUUGAGCUACAUCUCCAAUUUGGUUCUGGAGUCACAAUAACAUCUGUCUGUUUUUGAGUUAGUACUGUUCAAUGCAGGCCUCAAGGAAGCACUACUGCACCAAAAUGCAUGAGUGACAACAUUAUCUGAACUUCUAAUCAAAUUUUCCUUCAUCAGCAAGCGGCUGCUAGAUGUGAAUGUUCAUGGUUGCUCAGAAUUCAAAAUGUUGCAUAUAUUAAAUGACUGCUCUCAGACCUGCAUUAAAGCUUUUGCCAAGCAAGGCACCUCGGUUUCAUCUUGAGAUGAUGAUAAGGCUAGCUCUUGCUUACCACUUUGAUCGAUCUAGUACUAGUUGGAGACGAGCUGGGUCGCUGUCGACAGUAACCCAACGGUUAUUGUAUUUUGGGAUUGGAGGCAUCCGGUGCGGGCAUCUCCGGCGCGGUGCCGCGAAUAUUCCCUCGCUGCCCGUCGCACAGGUCACUGCCGGGCGAGCAAUGUUGGUUUCCCCCUGGAAUGCAAUGCAAUGCACACUGGCCUGCGGCGUGUGGUGGUGGAGACCGGCCGCGGGUUAAUUAAUUGGCUGUUACUGUUAGGGCCAUAACAAAUUGACCUGCAUAGCACACGUUAGCAUUGCUUGGGACAGUGACGCUGCACGCAAAAGGGACAUCCACUUUUGUGAUUUGUCAGCCAAGAGAGAGAGGAGAGAGAGGUUGUCAUCUGAGUUCAGUUUCAAGUGGUGGCAUGCUCUGCAAUUUUUUUUUCAUGCAAAUUUAUGCAGAGGAAUGAGAUUCAGGUCGAGGAUAUCAUGAUCAAUCGGUUUUCGGAAGUUGCUUGGAUGGAAAUAAUCGAGAAGUAGGCGGUUUAUAGAAAAUUUGGAAAAUUAUGAGAAGGGUGAGUUGACAAGUGCAGUUGAUUUCGCGUUUUUUGUUUUUUGGAACCCAGCCUGAGAACGUUUUUCAUUGCGAGGGAGAUUUACGACUUUGCAUAUUA